UAAUAGGAUUGUUGAUUUCCAUAUAGUUCCUAUGAAAGACCCCCGAAGGGAGACCCUCACUCAAGUCUCGAGAUAAUAGCGGACCCCCAAGAACUCAUGAGAGA
rnacentral:pre_miRNA from 7 species